CAGCCAGGUCUGCGUUUCUCCCAUGCGUUUGAUGAAUUCCAACUUGAUGGUCCACUCGAAUGUGACCUUUAAACUUUAUACAGGUUGUCGUCGCCUUGUGUCCCCACGGCUCUCCCAGGGACAGGGAAACUGAGUCAUAUCAAGGUGGAAGGCAGCUGAAGGAACCUUCCCUGUAUACUGUCAAAGCCAUCCUGAUUCUGGACAAUGAUGGAGAUCGACUUUUUGCCAAGUACUAUGACGACACCUACCCCAGUGUCAAGGAGCAAAAGGCCUUUGAGAAGAACAUUUUCAACAAGACCCAUCGGACUGACAGUGAAAUUGCCCUCUUGGAAGGCCUGACAGUGGUAUACAAAAGCAGUAUAGAUCU
rnacentral:sRNA from 1 species